UUACAUUUAAAUUGUAUUAUUUAUUAUCGAAGAUUGAGUUUCAAAGUGGUUUGAUGUAUCUGUGCUGUUAAACUCUAUGUUGUCGUAUUUGAUUUGUAAUUGGUUGAUUUGUAAUGUAGGUACCCGAUGAAGGAAGCAAGCACCAAUCUUUCACA